UACAGAAAAGACACUUGGCAUCUUUACUUGUUAGGAAUAAAUUUAAUCAAUGAAAAACUUUGUCAAACAUAAUGUGCCAGGAUUGUUACCAUUGCACUUGACUGUAUACAAAAACUCAUUGCUUAUGGUCAUAUUGUUGGCGAUACACCAGACUCCAUUGAACCAGAGAGGCGUUUAAUUGACAGAAUUAUUGAGACUAUUUGUAGUUGCUUUACUGGUAUAAUUACUGAUGUAAACGUUCAAAUACAAAUUAUAAAGAUAUUUAUAAAGAGUAAUCUCCAACUAUUAAAGUAUUUAAUGAGAGAAAUGAUGUAUCUUUGAAGAAUUUAGCGAGGGUAACGACAUAUGUUUCUUACAUUUUUAGUCUAAUUUUUUAUUAUUUUUAAUAUUACGUCACCUACACCAGAUAUAACAUAAAGUUCACAAAAAAUAUUCUCGUACUAUAUUGAACUUGCAGAAACGAUGUUUUUUUCAAGGGAAAGAGCUAUUUGUUAUAUAAAUAUAAGAAAAAGUAUGCUAGGAAGACAAUUUGAUCUUUUUUAAAAACAGAACAUUAAUUUAA